AUCCAGCUGACAAAUCCCAAAUAGGAUGAAACGCGCGUCAAACUAGAU
rnacentral:hammerhead_ribozyme from 1 species